UCCGGUGGCUAUAGCGGAGGGGAAACACCUCUUCCCAUUCCGAACAGGGCAGUUAAGCCCUCCUGCGCCGAUGGUACUGCUGGGGUCACCUGGUGGGAGAGUAGGACGCCGCCGGAU
rnacentral:rRNA from 1 species